CUCACCUUCUGGUUUUGAAUAGAGCUAGAGGAGUCAUCAGGAUCAGGUUCCGAUUUUAGAACUGUGGAGUCAGUUCUCAGCUCCAUCUCCACUUCCAUCGUGUUUCCAGAUUCCAAGACGAAUUCACUAGUACCAUCAUCAGGAUCAGGUUCAUUAUCAUGCUCACCAUCGAUCUCCUUGUUAAGCAUGUCAACAUCUGCAGUAUCAUCAGGAUCAGGUUCUAGGCAACCAACAGAGCUUUUCUUGGCAUUCUGCUCUGUAGAUGCUACAAAACCUGCUGAUCCUGAUGUCACAAUUGUUACAUCAAUAGGCAUGGCGUCAUUAUCAUCUGGGUCUGGUUCCGCCUUCACAUUUUCCAGAAUAAAAUCCUCACCAGCAUCAUCCGGAUCAGGUUCUGCUUGUGUACCUUGCACAUUAUAUCUCUCCACAGAUUUAGUAACACUACUGUG
rnacentral:lncRNA from 1 species